CAGUGGUGAUGAAAAUCUUUUCUCCAUUCGCGGUUUCCACCAGAGGUACUCCGAUGAUGGACUAAUCCUUCCUUGGAUGUCUGAACUG
rnacentral:snoRNA from 1 species